GACGUAGGGCGCGAGCGUUGUCCGGAUUUAUUGGGCGUAAAGAGCUCGUAGGCGGUUUGUCGCGUCGUCCGUGAAAACUCACAGCUUAACUGUGAGCUUGCGGUCGAUACGGGCAGGCUAGAGUUCGGUAGGGGAGACUGGAAUUCCUGGUGUAGCGGUGAAAUGCGCAGAUAUCAGGAGGAACACCGGUAGCGAAGGCGGGUCUCUGGGCCGAUACUGACGCUGAGGAGCGAAAGCGUGGGGAGCGAACAGG
rnacentral:rRNA from 1 species